CUUUUAGUAUAUUAAUUACACUAACCUUUCUAGUUAAAAAAUCCGAUAGGAAAAGCAC
rnacentral:tRNA from 1 species